CCUACGGGAGGCAGCAGUGGGGAAUAUUGGACAAUGGGGGAAACCCUGAUCCAGCGACGCCGCGUGAGUGAAGAAGUAUUUCGGUAUGUAAAGCUCUAUCAGCAGGGAAGAAAAUGACGGUAUCUGACGAAGAAGCACCGGCUAACUACGUGCCAGCAGCCGCGGUAAUACGGAGGGGGCAAGCGUUAUUCGGAUUUACUGGGUGUAAAGAGAGCGUAGACGGCAGCGCAAGUCUGAUGUGAAAUGCCGUGGCUCAACCACGGAACUGCACUGGAAACUGUUAUGCUGGAGUGCAGGAGAGGUAAGUGGAAUUCCUGGUGUAGCGGUGAAAUGCGUAGAUAUCAGGAGGAACACCGGCGGCGAAGGCGGCUUACUGGACUGUAACUGACGUUGAGGCUCGAAGGCGUGGGGAGCAAACAGGAGUAGAUACCCGAGUAGUC
rnacentral:rRNA from 1 species